rnacentral:lncRNA from 1 species
AACAACACAGACCUGGCCACAAUGUAUGAAGAAAUGCAGCUUUGGUAGAUGCUCUCCACAAAAAACAGCUAUUAAUACAAAAUAUGCACUGGAAACAACGUGAAACAGCUGUGAAUAUUAAUGACAACGAUGGCUUCCCAGGGUACUCCUGACCAAAGCCUACAUAGGGAGUGCCUCUGCCAGCCCAACACUGACCUCUAGUGAGGGACGUCGUAAGUUGCAAGUUCAACAUGAAUCUGAAGAGACUUGUGGGACACCCGAGGUUGACGAUAGAGGAGAGAAAGCGAUGCACCUAGCACCGUACCGGGGACCUAAUUCUGCCAUCAGACUUUUAGAAACUUUUGUAUUUGAAUGUAUAGGAGGUUCAGCCCAAAUCGAUCAAGUGCAUUUUUUUGUUCGUUUUUUGCCUUGAACUGUGUCUAUAUUUGCUGUUGCCCACUCAACAACUAUAAUAGAAACACAAAACAUUUUCAGUUAGCGUGUUUUCUGUGAGUUUAUUAUAGUACCUUAGCACAUUUUCACUGCUUAUCUUUUAUAUUAUAUGGAGAGCAGGAGAUGGAAGCAGGACUUAAGAUACUUGUUCAGGAUUGUGUUAGAACCAGGAUUGCUCAGUUCUCACUCCUCUCUUCAAAGUUAAUCUAUACUUGUUUCUUUCUGAAAACAUAGAUAUGUUUGGUUAGUUGAAAUUAUAAUGCAGAGCUUUGUUCAUAG